rnacentral:rRNA from 1 species
AUUGAACGCUAGCGGGAUGCUUUACACAUGCAAGUCGAACGAGUGGCGGACGGGAGAGCAAUAUAUCGGAAAGUGCCCAGUAGAGGAGGAUAACUAAUAGAAAGAGUGACUAAUACCGCACACUUUUGGAGAGGCCGAUAUAGGAAUAGCUAGGUGGUGGGGUAAAGGAUCACCAAGGCAACGAACCGUAGCUGGUUGGAGAGGACGAACAGCCACACUGGAACUGAGACACGGCCCAGACUCCCACGGGAGGCAGCUGUGGGGAAUUUUGGACAAUGGGGGAAACCCUGAUCCAGCCAUCCCGCGUGUAUGAGAAGGCCUUCGGAUUGUAAAGUACUUUUAGCAGUGAAGCGGUAUCUACAGAAUAAGCACCGGCUAACUUCGUGCCAGCAGCCGCGGUAAUUC